GACGAACGCUGGCGGCGUGCCUAAUACAUGCAAGUCGAGCGGAAUGAAGAAGAAGCUUGCUUCUUCUGAUUUUAGCGGCGGACGGGUGAGUAACACGUGGGCAACCUACCUUGUAGAUUGGGAUAACUCCGGGAAACCGGGGCUAAUACCGGAUAAUCCAUUUUGCUUCAUGGCGAGAUGUUAAAAGGCGGCUUCGGCUGUCACUACGAGAUGGGCCCGCGGCGCGUUAGCUAGUUGGUAGGGUAAUGGCCUACCAAGGCGACGAUGCGUAGCCGACCUGAGAGGGUGAUCGGCCACACUGGGACUGAGACACGGCCCAGACUCCUACGGGAGACAGCAGUAGGGAAUCUUCCACAAUGGACGAAAGUCUGAUGGAGCAACGCCGCGUGAGUGAAGAAGGUUUUCGGAUCGUAAAACUCUGUUGUAAGGGAAGAACACGUACGAGAGUAACUGCUCGUACCUUGACGGUACCUUAUUAGAAAGCCACGGCUAACUACGUG
rnacentral:rRNA from 1 species